GCAGGUGAACCUGCAGAAGGAUCAUUG
rnacentral:rRNA from 1 species